rnacentral:lncRNA from 12 species
AUGUGCCCAGGGCUUGGGGAUGCUCAGUGGGGUCAUGGCCUGGAGAUUUUGGGGAUACUUCUCUGGCUCAGUGCCUGGGAAUGUUGGGGUCGAUACCCAGAUCUUUUGGGAUGCUCAGCGGGCUCAGUCCCCGCGGAGCCGUCCCUCCGGCCCUUUUGCAGAGCCGGGCUGGCGGCAGCAGGCAGAGCAUCCCCACCCCUGGAAAAGCCGCUUUCCCCUCCCCUCCCUUGCCCCGCCGGGAAGUUGGGCCGCUCUCUCUUCUCCAUCUCCCAGGCGAGGCCUCUCAUGCUCCUCGCAGCUCCUAUGAUAAUGCGGAAAGUUGAACUGGCCCCAUUACUGCGCUGCGAUGGUUGCCGCGAUAAGGGCGCGAUAAUGGCAGCGAUAGCGGCGGCUCGCCCCCCCCCCCCCCCCCCCCCCCCCCCCCCCCCCCCCCCCCCCCCCCCCCCCCCGGUAGCCAAUGGCUCAGCCGCUGCUGCCAUUAACAUUCCCCACCACGGCCGGGCUCGGAGCUGCCUAUCUGCUCUCCAUUUCCACUCCUCCGCUAGAUAAGAAUGGAAAUACUGACUUCA